GCCGAAGUAGCUCAGUUGGAUAGAGCAAACUUAUUUUAAGGGUUGUGCGUGGGUUCGACUCCCGCCUUUGGCA
rnacentral:tRNA from 1 species